GUAAACAAGCGGCGGCCAGGGGCGGGCCGGGGGCGUGGGGCUCUGGGCCCCGCCGGGUCUGCCGCGACUCCGGAUGCGCGGGGUGGCAGUGGCCGGGAGGACGCGGGGCGGCGGGCAGGGCCUCCCAAGCCCGGCUGUCCUCGGCCCGUGCGCGGCGCCCGGAGUCCCACUCCUCCCGAGGCUGUCCCCCGCGCCCGGAGGCCGGGCCAAUGCUCUGGGAGUUCCCGGCUCCGGAGCUGAGCGGCCGCUCGGAAGAACCUCGGGUGCUGGCGCGCCUGAAGUUGCAGACCAGACUUAAAUGUGCGAGACAUGUGCCUUUUUCUUAGGAAAGGCCCCAGGAGCAGAGUGGAGCUGAGAAAGACUCAGCAUGGGUGCUGGGUUCCGGCGCGACAAGCCUGACACCUAGGUCAGCAUCUCAGCCACACAAGGAGGCGGCAGUUCUGUCAGGAAUUACUACAUCUGGUGAUUCCACUUCUCAUAGCUCACCGCUGGGAGAGUAAUUCCUCAGGAUUAACAAGAUCUUUUCCAGAGGAUCCUCACUGCUGAAGCGAUUUUAGAAGACAGUGUGGUCUGUUGACAGUAUGGAAUAUUCUUUACCCAUUAGAUAUGAUCUGUAUGUGAUUGGAAGGAAAUAGAUCAACUGCUAACAACACUUA